UGCUGUUUAAGAUGUACAUGUAGUCAAAAAAUCAAAUGAAAAUAAAAAAUAUACAAAUACAUUGUAGCAAACAUUUCUUUGCAUGUAAUAUUUGACACUAGACGUUAAAUACUCAUCAAUAUACCCCUUAAAUCAUUUUAUAAGAAAGUUGCAGGACAUGAAAUUCAGUUAUCAACAAUAAUAUCACUUUCGUCAGUAUUUUAGUAGUUUGAGAGAUACAGAAUAUUUACUAAUUUCACGUGACUUUCUAGAACAGAUGAGCAAGAUAUGUAUCUCUGUGCUUUUACAUGUGCAGGCUUGAAAUAGUCCCGUACAUUUUAACUUGAGUCGUCGUGGCAAAUACUCUGUAAUGUCAACCAAUUAACGACCCAAAGGAAUCCCC
rnacentral:lncRNA from 1 species